UACGUAGGGGGCUAGCGUUGUCCGGAAUCAUUGGGCGUAAAGCGCGUGUAGGCGGUCCGGUAAGUCCGCUGUGAAAGUCGGGGGCUCAACCCUCGGAUGCCGGUGGAUACUGUCGGGCUUGAGUACGGAAGAGGCGAGUGGAAUUCCUGGUGUAGCGGUGAAAUGCGCAGAUAUCAGGAGGAACACCAAUUGCGAAGGCAGCUCGCUGGGACGUUACUGACGCUGAGACGCGAAGCGUGGGAGCAAACAGGA
rnacentral:rRNA from 1 species